GCCCUACUGUAAUUCUUCGUUUAUUGACAGCCGCUCUUAUCGGAAAAGAAAAACAAUAUAUUUUGAUUUGUAAUUAAGGCCUUUUAGAACAAGAAUUUAGUAUAGGAUAAAAGCGCUAAAAAUUUUGAAGAAGAUAGAGCUCUCGAUUUUUUGAUUAAAUGCCUAAAAGAUGUGGGUGUUUAUGUAUCAAAAAGCCUACUGGGGCGCUAAAGGUGUUUAAAAAGAAUGUGGCUGUAAAAUACAUUUAGUGGUCUUGAGAUCUGCCCAGGUGGAUUAGUCUUUCAAUCAAGUUAAUCAGUUAAAAUAGCAUCUUCUUUUUAUGUACUUUCGAUCUUACAGCAUAGAUCUGAAGUGUGAAAAUGGUACACUAACAUGUAAAAGUGUUACUUUUAUAUGACCACUGAAGCAUUUGUGAAGAGUUUACAUCGCACCUGUUAAAAAGCAUUUGUUUACGUCAAUGUUACCAAGUUACAGUAAUUUACAUGUUUAUUCUACUUUUAUAUUCAACAAAUACCACAAAUACCAUCCUAUGAUUACAUUAAAGAGGCGUCAAUAACUUCUUACAUGCAAAAUGUUGGUAAUAUAACAAGCCUUAUGAAGCACAAAAAAGUACUAUCAGUGUAGACAAAUUGAUAUGUAGAGAGUAUUGCAAAGGCUUUAAAACAGGUCCAAGUUACAUACAGAAUAAGUAAAUAAGCACAUUUACGUAGUAGGACUUGUUAAUUACAUUGUAAGAGAAAAGACUCUCAAAAUGGCGAUUUAUCUGCAAUUAUAACAGAGGAUGUUAGUACACAAGGCAGCAGACCAUUUUUGGCACCUGAUUGAUUUGAAAAGAAGCCCCUAAACAAUUUGAAAACAAACAUCUAAACGAAUUUAAGAGAGCGACAAAAGUUGUAAUUGUGUAUAAAACAAUUUUGCACAAGAGUUUUCUAAUGUUACAAAUUCAUCAUCUUGUACGGUCCUUUUGUAGUUACCUAAUAUGCUUAUAGUUGAAAAUAUUACUUAAUAAACAGUUAACAGCACAAGUUAUUUUAAUAAACGUUUAACGUUGCAGAU